UGCAUGUGAAGCCUCUGUGGUUACGCACAUCCUGUACACGUGAGCCUCAUUCAUUAGCAUGUUCCAAAAGAGUGAAAACCAUCUCCAAGGUGCUCAUCUCUCACCUCGUGGCUGAAGGGAUGUUUCCUGUCAUUGCCAUUGCCGCUAGAUGCACAAACGAAUGAACACCGCCGAUCUCCAGCAGGUAGUGAUUUGACAGAUGGGCAGACCUUUUGUGGUUGAGUUGCAAUAAGACAGCAGCAGUGAUGAUUCAGCUGCCAAAGGACAUCAUCCAUCUCCAACCUCCGUCAGGACCGAGCGUCUCCUGAGAGAUAGAGAGAGCGAGAAAGUUAGUCAUGGAUCAGAAGACAAAUGAGAGUCCCAACUCCACCUCCCCUCAGAAGCACAUGAAGAACAGGUCCAAAUCAACAGAGGAGAUGCAACACUCGAAGAAGGCCUUUUCCUCACAAAAAUCCCUCCCAGGCCGACCAGAGCUGGACAGAGUGAAGGAGUGUCCUGAUGGCUCUGACACGCCCCCGUCCUCCACUGAAGAAGAGAAGUGAUAAAUAAAAGGAUCACUGGGACAAUAGAGCUGCCAUCAAGCAACAACAUCAUCAUACAACAACAUGACACGUACAUUAAAAUGUACAUAUGCAAACAAAGAAACAUAGAAAAUAUUGAGGAUAACAGUGAACUAAAUUAGAAAAUAUACAAGUGGCGAACAGAUGAUUGGUUGAAAGAAACUGUUGAAAAUAAUGGUUACUUGAACGCACGCAUGCACACACACACACACGCACGCACGCACGCACGCACGCACACACCCACACACACACCCACACACACACACACACACACACACAAUCUGAGACAAUCGCAUGCAAACAAAAGGACACCCAUGAUGAUGCUGUUUCAUUGUACUGUACUCUGAGAGUCAUAAACAUACCAGACUGAACAAGUAUUGACAAUAAAGUGAUUUCUCAUCUAUUCUCAUUCA